rnacentral:rRNA from 1 species
AUGUGCAACUGUACAGGUACAACAAUCUUCAUCAUGGAAAACUUCACCCCCCAAAAUUGUUUAAGUUACAUUUUCAUCUACUUUGGGUGCACGUGGGAUAUAACUUGGCUACGCAAAGCGUGGCAUGGAGCCGUUGGUCGAUUGCGAGCUCCGGUCGCUGACCCAAACGUCCUGCACCGACACCGGCGACCGGGCUUUCUUCGCCGCUGUGGUGCCCGGUCCAUCGAGCCCCACGUCGGCGACGAGGUCGGUCAUGCCGGAGCCUGGUGCGGCGUCCCUGAUCCGGCACAGCUCGGCGGCCACCUCGCUCAUGGACGGCCGGACGUCCUUGUCGAACGCCAGGCACUGGAAGGCGAGCUCGCUGACGUGCCGGACCGACUCCAUGACCCACUCCUCGCCGUGGCGGAGGAGCGCCAGGUCGACGAUCUCUUCGACUCUCCCCUUGCCGAUCCGGUCGAGCGCGAGGCAUGCCAGGUUGACCUCGUUCGCCGGCCGGCCGAAGUCGACGACCUUCAUGGCGGUGAUGAGCUCGAGCAGCACCACGCCGAAGCUGUACACGUCGCUCUUGUCGGAGAGGUGGAAGCUCUGGUGGUACUCCGGGUCGACGUACCCCGGCGUGCCCUGCGGCGCGGUGGAGACGUGCGAGCGCGACGCGUCCUCGGCGCCGCGCGCGGUGCGGGAGAGGCCGAAGUCGGCGAGCUUGGCGCGGAGGUCGGCGCCGAGGAGGAUGUUGCCGGACUUGACGUCGCGGUGGAAGAUGGGCGGGCGCGCGGCGUGCAGGUACGCGAUGGCGGCGGCCGUGCCCGCCGCGACGCCGAGCCGCGCGCGCCACGGCAGCGUGGCGUCGCCGCCGCCGUGGAGGUGGUGGGAGAGGGUGCCGUUGGGGACGAGCUCGUAGACGAGGAUCUGCUCGCCGCGGUCGAGGCAGCAGCCGAGGAGGCGGACGAGGUUGGGGUGGCUGAGCGAGGAGAUGAGCCUGAUCUCGUUGAGGAGCAGCGCCACCGCCCGGCCGCCGUCGUCGUCGUGGUCGUCGUGGCGGCACCGGAGGCGCUUGAUGGCCACGAGCGCCGUCGAGUUCGCCGGGAGCCUGCCGACGUAGACCGUGCCGUAGGCGCCCGUGCCGAGGCGGUGCGUGUGGGAGAAGGAGUUGGUCGCGCGCGCCACCUCGUUGUACGAGUACACCGGCACGCCGCUCGACGUCGCCGCCUCCGACAGCAGCCGCAUCGCCGCGAGCCGGCUGGAGCCCUGCCGCCCCUUGCCGACAGAGCGCCGGCGUCGUGCCCAGCAGAGCAGCAGGAGCACGCCGGCCGCCGCCGCCACGCCCACCACGACACCUGCUAUUAA